CCAGCUCAAUUUAAGUGUAUCUGCUCGGUAUCUGUUCAAGUGGAGAUAAUCCAUGCAAAUCAGGAGCAGUGCCUUUCAAUGCCUGGUUCACAGAGAGGACUCCGCUUGAGGAGGUCACUCGUUCACGGCCGCUCCUCCCAUUAUAUUUUUCCCCUUAUUGCAGAACUGCUGUAUGUACACAGUGACUGAAAGGACUCAAUUUACUGCAACUGCUGCCUGGCUUUACUUACAACUUUUUUUUAUAAAGGAACUUACCUCCAUCUGUCUUUUCAAGCUCUGGAGGUUGGAAUGUCAAAGAUGAAGCGGCUGGCAGUUUUCAUUCUUGUGAGAGAGAUUCAGAAAAGACCUGGUUUGACUUUCAAACCCACGUUGCCAAUGAAAACCAGCCUCCUGAAUCCGAAGCACCAGAGUAGGGUCAUUCUCCUGCUCACUGGUAUAUCUACAACUCAAAUACAAGUGCAAAUAAAAGGAGAGGAUAAAGAAGACACCCACCACCCUGAAGAGAAACACAAAAGAACAUAGAUUUAUAUUGAUUAGCAGCUCUAGAUAUCUGAUGAGUAAGUGGUUUUAACAAAUUGACCAAAAUAAAUAUUUUGAAUCUGAAAAUAUAUCCUGAAACACAGAGGCUGCAUAGGUUAGGCAGCUCAGACAGACCCAGAAUAUAGCUCUGAAAUUCAGAGGAUUUUUCUUUUUAUGGCACAUUAGGUAGCUGCGAGGCUAUGAAACAUGAAUUUGGAUGCCAAAUGAAUAACACGUUUGAAGGAGGAGCACAGAGUGACUUUAAACAUCUGUGAAGUGAAAAUAUCCCUGAACCAAAGCAUGCUACUGUGUUGAAAACAAUUACUGUUACAGAUCAUUUUCUUGCUUUAGAUAAAGUAUAUCUCUUCUCAAGGGAGCAGGUGUACUGAUGGCUUUGUGAAUCGUCAUUCAUCAAAUCACAAAUGGACAUGCACACCCCUUUUCCGGUAAAUCCACACAAACAAAAAUCACAGCUUCUUAACAUCACAGAGAAGAAAACCUGUGAUUUGUUACCAAGGAAGGAUACAUUUUACUUCUCCACUUCUCCAGGAUUUGUAGUAGUUAUCUGAAAUCAAGUGAACAGAGACACUCUGAAAAUCUGCCCCAAUACCCCUUGCCUUUGGGAUAUUAAUGACUACAAGAUGUUGAAUGCAUAUUUGAACAGUAAGAAGAACCUGCUUCCCAAAGGGGAAAAAAAAAUUGGAAACAGACUCAGAGGAACAGUAAGUUAGUAGCCAGGUCUAAAAAGCUCUGGACAUCAGCACGUCCCAAAGCUUAGGGUAUUAAAGGAGCUCUAUAUCAA